rnacentral:rRNA from 1 species
UACAGAGGGGGCAAGCGUUAUUCGGAAUUAUUGGGCGUAAAGGGCGCGUAGGCGGCUUUGCAAGUGACGGGUGAAAGCCCUCGGCUUAACCGAGGAACUGCCUGUCAGACUGUAAGGCUUGAGACCGGGAGAGGUGAGUGGAAUUCCCAGUGUAGCGGUGGAAUGCGUAGAGAUCGAUCGGAAUGCCAAGGGUGAAGACAACCCGCUGGGGCUUUCCUGACGCUGAGGCACGAAAGCGUGGGGAUCAAACAGG